GACGUAGGGGGCCAGCGUUGUUCGGAAUUACUGGGUGUAAAGGGUUCGUAGGCGGUGCGGCAAGUUGGGAGUGAAAUCUCUGGGCUUAACCCAGAGGCUGCUUCCAAAACUGCUGUGCUUGAGUGUGGGAGAGGCGCGUGGAAUUGCAGGUGUAGCGGUGAAAUGCGUAGAUAUCUGCAGGAACACCCGUGGCGAAAGCGGCGCGCUGGACCACUACUGACGCUGAGGAACGAAAAGCUAGGGGGAGCAAACAGG
rnacentral:rRNA from 1 species